rnacentral:tRNA from 1 species
GGGGACGUAGCGCAGCCCGGCAAGCGCGCCUGCUCUUUAAAAGCAGGAGGUCAUCGGUUCAAAUCCGAUCGUCCCCA